rnacentral:rRNA from 1 species
AUACGGAGGGUGCAAGCGUUAUCCGGAAUUAUUGGGUUUAAAGGGUCCGUAGGCGGCUAGAUAAGUCAGUGGUGAAAUUCUCUCGCUCAACGAGAGACCUGCCAUUGAUACUGUCUUGGCUAGAGUUACAGUGAGGUGAGUGGAAUGUGUAGUGUAGCGGUGAAAUGCAUAGAUAUUACACAGAACACCGAUUGCGAAGGCAGCUCACUAACUGUAUACUGACGCUGAUGGACGAAAGCGUGGGGAGCAAACAAGAUUAGAAACCCUUGUAGUCC